rnacentral:rRNA from 1 species
AUUGAACGCUGGCGGCAUGCCUUACACAUGCAAGUCGAGCGGCAGCGCGGGAGCAAUCCUGGCGGCGAGCGGCGAACGGGUGAGUAAUGCUUCGGAAUCUGCCCCUUCAGUGGGGAAGUAACCAGUCGAAAGAACUGGCUAAUAACCGCAUACGAACUGAGGUUGAAAGCAGGGGAUCGCAAGACCUUGCGCUGAUGGAUGAGCCGAAGUCGGAUUAGCUUGUUGGUGGGGUAAUGGCCUACCAAGGCGACGAUCCGUAGCUGGUCUGAGAGGACGACCAGCCACACUGGGACUGAGACACGGCCCAGACUCCUACGGGAGGGCAGCAGUGGGGGAAUAUUGCGCAAUGGGGGAAACCCGUACGACGCAGCCA